AUUCAGCUGACGAGUCCCAAACAGGACGAAACGAUCGUCCUGGAU
rfam:Schistosoma mattheei strain Denwood, Zambia genome assembly, scaffold: SMTD_scaffold0019540